GCCCCGGUGGCGCCCGUGGGAGCACUGUUGCCCUCGCAGCAAAAGGGGCUGGGUUUGAUUCCCGGCCAGGGGGCU